rnacentral:rRNA from 1 species
AUUGAACGCUAGCGGGAUGCCUUACACAUGCAAGUCGAACGGAGUGGCGAACGGGUGAGUAAUGUAUCGGAACGUGCCCAGUAGCGGGGGAUAACUACGCGAAAGCGUAGAUAAUACCGCAUACUUCUGGAGCGGUCGAUAUCGGCUUAGCUCGUUGGAGGGGUGGCGGCUCACCAAGGCGUCGCCCCGUAGCUGGUUUGAGAGGCCGACCAGCCACCCUAGGACUGAAACGCGGCCCAAACUCCUACAGGAGGCAGCAGUGGGGAAUCUUGGACAAUGGGAGAAACCCUGAUCCAGCCAUCCCGCGUGUGCGAUGAGGGCCUUCGGGUUGUAAAGCACUUUUGGCAGGAAAGCGGUACCUGCAGAAUAAGCACCGGCUAACUACGUGCCAGCAGCCGCGGUAAUAC